CUUGUAACUAUUCUAUUUGUGUAAAAUUUUGUUGUGUUCUUUGGAAACUUGUGAUUCUGCACAAUUAUUGUGUCACUUGAUUUCUUGUAACAUGGUAUGAUGAAGAAUGUACUGUAUAUUUAAGAAUUGUAAUUAUUAUUGCUUCGUAACUAAGUAAGUUACAGUGUAUCAAUUUAGUUGUAUAUGUUAUUUUGAUAAUGUGUUAUUUGCUCACUAAACUCAUUGCUCAGUUUUCUCUCGGUAACUCAUGCUAACUCUUGCUUUUCUCUUGGUAAUUUGGAUUUUUGAAGUUUUGUCCAAUGCUUGUAGAUUUUAUUUUCUUCUUUGAGCCUUGUCGACCUGAUCAAUUGACAAUGAUCUCUCUUCUUUCCCUUUCUCUUCCCUCUACUUUUCAUUUUCUUUGGGCGGCCGACCAAUUACUCUCCUUUUCUAUUUAUUUAACUUCUAUCUUGAAUAAAUUUCUGGUACAAUUUGGUUCCUAAAUUAAAUACCCCCAGUUGUGGAGGUUUGUACCAAAAUUUAUUAAUUACUUAAUUUUAUUUUAUUUAUUUUAUUUUCUCCUUAUUUGGACAUAACUUUGAAUAUCCAUUUAUUAAAUUUCUAGUUAAUAAUUUUGAUUUGUUGGAUUGGUACAACUGGACGAAGCCUUGUCGGUUGACCAGCCAGCGAUUUCCUCUUCUUCUUGUUCUAAAAGGCCUAGCUGUGGCAUCUCAAAAUGUAGCAUGUGAUUUGAAUUAUGAAAUAUCUAAAUUUUUACUACAAAAUUUUUCUUUUAAAUUAUGCUAAAGUAGCAUAAAUGUAAAUCUACAAUGCCUGAUUGAAUUUUAUAUUUGAAUAACCCCAGUUGGGUUUUUUUUAUUUUACCAUUAAUUUUGAAUGACCGGACAAAUAUAAUACCAGGAUAAAUACAGGAUGAAGGAGACUAAACAUUUUCCAUAAACUCAAGCAAAUUCAACCAAAGUACAGUAUGAAAGUUAAAUUUCCAUUUACAAUUCGAAGUGGGGUAAGCAGAACACUUGUUUUACAAUUCGGCUUCUAAUUCAACCAAGUCCAUCGAAUUUUAUGAGUUUCAAACUUCGUUAAUCGUCGCUUAUCUACGAUUCCACAUCACACUCACUGAAGCUUCAGUUGUAGGCCUACCGGGUUACUAACAUAGAUUUAAUAAUCAAAACUUGUAAACUGAAUAUUUUGUAACUUCAGAAAUGAAAUUGAUUUUUAAUGUUGAAAAUAUAAGAUUCAAUCGGA